rnacentral:rRNA from 1 species
GCAAGUCGAGCGAACUGAUUAGAAGCUUGCUUCUAUGACGUUAGCGGCGGACGGGUGAGUAACACGUGGGCAACCUGCCUGUAAGACUGGGAUAACUUCGGGAAACCGAAGCUAAUACCGGAUAGGAUCUUCUCCUUCAUGGGAGAUGAUUGAAAGAUGGUUUCGGCUAUCACUUACAGAUGGGCCCGCGGUGCAUUAGCUAGUUGGUGAGGUAACGGCUCACCAAGGCAACGAUGCAUAGCCGACCUGAGAGGGUGAUCGGCCACACUGGGACUGAGACACGGCCCAGACUCCUACGGGAGGCAGCAGUAGGGAAUCUUCCGCAAUGGACGAAAGUCUGACGGAGCAACGCCGCGUGAGUGAUGAAGGCUUUCGGGUCGUAAAACUCUGUUGUUAGGGAAGAACAAGUACGAGAGUAACUGCUCGUACCUUGACGGUACCUAACCAGAAAGCCACGGCUAACUACGUGCCAGCAGCCGCGGUAAUACGUAGGUGGCAAGCGUUAUCCGGAAUUAUUGGGCGUAAAGCGCGCGCAGGCGGUUUCUUAAGUCUGAUGUGAAAGCCCACGGCUCAACCGUGGAGGGUCAUUGGAAACUGGGGAACUUGAGUGCAGAAGAGAAAAGCGGAAUUCCACGUGUAGCGGUGAAAUGCGUAGAGAUGUGGAGGAACACCAGUGGCGAAAGGCGGCUUUUUGGUCUGUAACUGACGCUGAGGCGCGAAAGCGUGGGGAGCAAACAGGAUUAGAUACCCUGGUAGUCCACGCCGUAAACGAUGAGUGCUAAGUGUUAGAGGGUUUCCGCCCUUUAGUGCUGCAGCUAACGCAUUAAGCACUCCGCCUGGGGGAGUACGGUCGCAGACUGAACUCAAGGAUUGACGGGGGCCCGCACAGCGUGAGCAUGUAUUUAUUUCGAGCAACGCGAGACCUUACAGGUCUGACAUUCUCUGACACUCUAGGAUGAGCGAUUCCUCGGGGAACAGAGUGUACACAGU